rnacentral:lncRNA from 1 species
GGAAUCCCACUUUGGGCCUUUUGCUGGACAUUCUUUUCCUCAGGUUCCUCUCCAUUUCCAACCCUGCAGUUCUUUCAGACAGGAACAAAUAUGGGUCAAAGUUUUCAACUGAUACCCUGUCAUCCUCCUGGAGGUGGGCUCUGAACUGAAGUCAUGAUAUGGAGCUACCAUAUUGCUUUUUAAAACAUCUAGCAGAGUCAAUGGGGUGAGCAGACCGUUGCGGCAGUCUUGACAUACACUGCAAUUUAUCUUCUGAUGUUCCUCAAAUUCUUCCAUGCAAUGUUUUUGCAGGCAUGCAGUCUUUGAAGUGAGUGGUGUUUUUCUAAUUUUAAAUAAGGUCAAUCAGUUGAGGAAUAUAAGCUUUAUAUGAGCAAAUUAAUUACAUUUACACUCCAAAAAUAAUCCAACCUGGUUGUAAUAUGAAGGACUCAUAAGGGACAAGAAUGAACAAAGGGACAAAGAGACAAGUUGAUAAACAAGUGUGGUGAAAAUAUGAGAUUAUGAUGAUGGCAGUGAGGAUGGAUUCCAGACGAAUUUGUAGAAGAGAUUCACAGGAUUCGAUGUGGAAGGCAAAGAGUGGUCUCUCUGGCAUUGCUUUAUAAUGCAUGAAAUGAUGAUGUGAGAGCUGCACACAAGUUGUACAAUACGUGAUUUAGGCUGAUACCAGAGAAUUUCUAUCUAACUCAAACUGGCCUUUCUCUGCUUCUCCCUGGAUUGCUCUCCUUGGAAAAUCUGCCCCUGAACUGAACUGCUCUGAAUUGAACUGCUCUGCUCCUGAACUGGACUGCACUCAACUGAACUGCUCUGAACUGUAGUGAAUUCAACUGACUUUAAUUGAACUGUGUUGAACUGAAUUGAACUCUCACCCUCACUGCUUUUUAAGUAGCCUCUCUUUUCUAUCUGUUCUCCAGAGAGUUGGGUGUAUCCUAUCUCUUAUUCUUUCUAUUAAUCUCAAUUGAUUGUGAGCAAAGAGAUGAAAAGAAGUUGCUGAUAUACUGACUACGAAUAUUGGACUCGCCCAAAGAACACGAUGAUGACCCGAUGAUGACCUGAAGAAUAAAAAUUUUUACUGAACUCUUCUUCACCCCAGAACC